CGUUUAUUUGGAAACUAUCCC
rnacentral:miRNA from 1 species